UGACAAAAGGAAACAGUCCCCAAAGAAAGAGUAAAAAGUUUUCAUGCCCCUGUGCAACUCUGAGCAGUCUACAACAUGUAUAUUCCUCACAUUCCUUUUAUAUUACCAACUACGAUGUAAGACAGUGAUCCCUUUAACAAAUAGCUGAAUAAGAUACAGGCUCAAGGAAAGAGCAGAAAAGUGAGAUUUACUGAAUGGCUCUUUCAAUAAGAUGCACAAAGGGCUAAAUGGUCUUCUGUGCUUCAGUAGGAGUCUGUGAUUCUAGAAGAUACCGGGGGUGAAUCCACAAGCUGGCUCUCGUAGACGCAAGUGUUGGGAAAUCAAGAGAUGCACAAUCUGUGAUUUAUUGUUCAUUAAUGAGCAGAAAACCAUGAACCACUUGAAGAGAUACACUGCCGCUGAGUGUUGCUCCUUGCUGCAUGCUCCCAGAUCACUGAAUCACUCCUCUUGCAGUUAAGGUGUUCAUUUGUAUUUGGUGUUUUCAACAAUGAAUGCUCCUGCAACUUUGGUUUCAAUAGCCCAGCCGUUUUCACAAAUUAUCUCGUGUUGGACAGAGCUGGUUAAGAGGUUGGACGCAUCUAGGAUGCAGCAUAUCAGAAUCGGCCCCUGGCAAAGAAUAAGGAAAAGUCAACAGGAAUUAAGUUUCAGUGCAACUGUUUACUCAACUGUGGCCUGCAGUUAUUGAAAUCUUAUCCAUGGUUUUGUGUGACUACAGCAAUAAUGAAUUCAGCAUGACUGCAGUCCUCUAAGUAAUGGCACAUUUACUUCAAGCAGCAACCUGUGUGUAUACACCGAGGCAAAAAUUGGAAGCUGUAUCGAAGGAAAACCCAAGGCACGAUAUAUAUACC